UUUUUGUUGUGUCUUGUGUACAGUUUUGCAUGUUUCUCUUGAUUUCUGGACUUUGUUUAGGUUGUCAGUUUUUCCUUCACUUCAUUGAUACUCUGAUUUGUUUGAAAUCCUUGCUUUUCUCUGCUUGGAAUAUGAUCAUGAUGUUUGAGAGAGUGAUUUGAUUGUGACAAUUACCUUGUGUGAUAUGUCUCAUAAUUGCUUGAACUUAUGUCUUGGCUUGACUCUUGUUGAUAAUUCUUAAUUCAUGCACAUGUUUGAAAGUGAUAAAGGCGUUUUAUUGUUAAGCCUCCCUAGCCAAAUGAGCCUACCCUGUUUUGAUCCAUUAAUGACCCCUUUUGAGCCUAUGCUUUCACCAUUUCUUUUUUUUGAAGCUCAUACACUAGCCCUUAGUUUAAAACCAU
rnacentral:lncRNA from 1 species